UUAUUUUUGUUAUUUUAUAUUUAAAUGCCACAUGUAAACGAGAAUUUGCUUAUGAGAUGGGAUUUGGAUUGUUCCCCUUUGUUCGUCAUCAUAUAUGUUGUCCAUUCUUUUAGAGGUGCUUGGUAGGCGAGAGUUGAGAGCCGAGAGCUAUUAUCCCGUCAUUAUGUUGUAUCGUUCUCAUGGUUAUGUAUAGGGCUUAGAGACUCUUG
rnacentral:lncRNA from 1 species